rnacentral:rRNA from 1 species
AAGGAAUAUUGGACAAUGGAGGCAACUCUGAUCCAGCCAUGCCGCGUGAAGGAAUAAGGCCCUAUGGGUUGUAAACUUCUUUUAGACGGGACAAAACCCCUUUACGUGUAAAGGGUUGAUGGUACUGUCAGAAUAAGCAUCGGCUAACUUCGUGCCAGCAGCCGCGGUAAUACGAAGGGUGCGAGCGUUAUCCGGAUUUACUGGGUUUAAAGGGUGCGUAGGUGGGCUUAUAAGUCAGUGGUGAAAUCUCCGAGCUUAACUUGGAAACUGCCGUUGAUACUAACGGUCUUGAAUUAUCUGGAGGUAAGCGGAAUAUGUCAUGUAGCGGUGAAAUGCUUAGAUAUGACAUAGAACACCAAUUGCGAAGGCAGCUUACUACAUAUAAAUUGACGCUGAGGCACGAAAGCGUGGGGAUCAAA